GGCCUGAUGGUCUAGUAGUAUGAUUCCUUGUUAGGGUGGAGAACACCAUCGAGGAGGUCCUGGGUUCAAUUCCCAGUCAGGCCC